CUACGGGCGGCUCCAGUGAGGAAUAUUGCACAAUGGGGGGAACCCUGAUGCAGCAACGCCGCGUGGAGGAUGACGCAUUUCGGUGUGUAAACUCCCUUUAUAUGUCAAGAAAAUGACGGUAGCAUAUGAAUAAGCACCGGCUAACUCCGUGCCAGCAGCCGCGGUAAUACGGAGGGUGCAAGCGUUACUCGGAAUCACUGGGCGUAAAGGACGCGUAGGCGGGUUGGAAAGUCAGGUGUGAAAUCCUACAGCUUAACUGUAGAACUGCACUUGAAACUUCUAAUCUAGAGUAUGGGAGGGGGAGAUGGAAUUAGUGGUGUAGGGGUAAAAUCCGUAGAUAUCACUAGGAAUACCUAAAGCGAAGGCGAUCUCCUGGAACAUUACUGACGCUAAGGCGUGAAAGCGUGGGGAGCAAACAGGAUUAGAUACCCCGGUAGUC
rnacentral:rRNA from 1 species